CCACCAUAUCAGGUUGAAACACCAGUUCUCGUCCGAUGGCCGAUGUUAAGCAACGUAGGGCUUGGUCAGUACCUAGAUGAGUGACAGUUUGGGAAUACA